UUUUUUCAUACCUAAGCUGAUGGUCUUGAGACACCCUAACAGCGUAACCGGGCGAUCUUAAUGUGUCUUCAACUGAACACACAAAGAAAAGUGGGAUCGUACAUUAGUUGACUAGGUAUAUUUUUCUAACUAUUGCUUCAAAUUGUCUUUAUGCGGCACCAUCUUAAAAUAGCAGCUAAUAUAAUGGUAGCCAUACACGUAACGAUAUACUUGUGCAAGUUUAGACUUGUACAAGUAUGCAGUAACGUGUGUUGGAAAAUUAUUGCGCAAAUUUCUAGACUUGUACAAGUUUAAAAAAGUUUUAAUUUUCGAUUUCGAACUUGUGCAAAUUUCUGUUUGCGCAAGUUUACUUGAACGUGUGUGGCAUGCCGGCGUUCGAAGUUACAGUAGUAUAGCAACCGCCCGCUUGUGCGCACGUUUUGUGAUAGUUUUAAACGCGCUAAAAUGACGAGUGAGAGACAUGGAGUUCGAGACAAUUUGGAGGAAUUUAUUAAUAUUUACAGAAAUGAAGUCUGUCUUUGAAAAUUUUUAUUCAUUUAAUAAAUUGAUGUGCGAAUAAUGCUCUCUUUUUUUUAACCAGUCUUUACACCAUAUAUUUCGGUUUCUUUUAAGUCUUUUCAGUUUUUUGGUAGCAAAUAUUAAGCAAACUAUUGCCAAAGCUUCAUCCAUCGACACACCCGGAUGCUCUGCUCACUUUCAUAGAAAUGAUAUCGUUCAAUUAUACUUGAGCCGUCUGUGGUCACUUAGGAGUGACAUUAUACCUGUGCAAGUCUAAACUUGCACAAGUAUAUCGUUACGUGUAUGGCUACCAUAACGACUAUAUUCUCUCGUCACUGCCGUAGGAAAAAAGACAUAUCGUAGCACUGAGGAAACACCAUGGAAUCGAAUGGUAGUCGCAAUGGGUGGGGGUGAUGGUAACGAGAUAACAGAAGCAUCAGAAGCGAUUCAUAAGAGAGAGAGAGAUAAACAAAGUGUUAGUCUAAUAGACUUUCCUUUUAAAUGAUUACGUUAUUGAACGCUAUCGUCGAUAUUUCAUGGAACCCAUGAAUACCAAUUCCAUAAACAGUUUUUUGGAUUUGCAGCGGAAUAACAAAAAAACCUUCUUCUGUGUAUUGUCUUGUUUCAUUGAGCAAAAUUGAAUUAACUGAAAUCGGAGAUUCGAUUCAAAUUGUUCCGAGACUUCAAACACAUGUUUUGAUCGCUCCUUCAAAACAAUGCUACAGAAACUCUUGCACCCGGUGAAUUGUGCACCUUCCGUAAUUAUGCAUGCCAACAAUAAAUAAGAAGUUAUUGGCCUUGUUAUGCAAUGCGAAAAGCAUGCAAACAACAAGUAUUUAUAAUAGGAAUAGAGGACAACGAUCGUCUUUUAAGAUUCGACCUUCAGAAAACUAGCGAUCUACGUGUAGAGAUUUUCAAGAAUUCUCUGUAUGAUGAUUCUUCAACAGAAUUGAGGUAUGCCAUAUUUUAUCGAAGACUUUCGCGACAUCAAUUCUCACAGUGAGUGCAUUGUGCUCUAACAUUUUAAUCCAACAGUGAAUUGAAUACAAAAAAGGUCGCCAGCUGAAAAUCCAUAAUUGGAAUGAAUUCCAGUGAUAUCUGAUUCACCAGAAAUGUUCAGAUUACCCCAAAAGUUAAGGUCUUACUUACUCAUUCGUUGUUCCAAGAGCACCUGCGUUAACCAGGAAAGAAAAAAAGGAGUGUGGCUGUGUUAUGGACACGGCCGUUUGUUGUACGUGAAUACGACUCGUAACGGGUAAUAGUUUCUAUAUAAAACAUUAUUAUUUAUGUAUGUCAUAAUCAUAAGAAGUCCUCCGGGUAUACAUGUUUUGUUUAUGA